rnacentral:rRNA from 1 species
GACGAACGCUGGCGGCGUGCUUAACACAUGCAAGUCGAACGAUGAGGCCGGAGCUUGCUCCGGUGGAUUAGUGGCGAACGGGUGAGUAACACGUGAGCAAUCUGCCCUUGACUCUGGGAUAACUGCGGGAAACUGUAGCUAAUACCGGAUACGACACCUUGGGGCAUCCCAGGGUGUGGAAAGAAUUUCGGUCAAGGAUGAGCUCGCGGCCUAUCAGCUAGUUGGUGAGGUAAUGGCUCACCAAGGCGACGACGGGUAGCCGGCCUGAGAGGGUGACCGGCCACACUGGAACUGAGACACGGUCCAGACUCCUACGGGAGGCAGCAGUGGGGAAUAUUGCACAAUGGGCGAAAGCCUGAUGCAGCAACGCCGCGUGAGGGAUGAAGGCCUUCGGGUUGUAAACCUCUUUUAGCAGGGAAGAAGCGAAAGUGACGGUACCUGCAGAAAAAGCACCGGCUAACUACGUGCCAGCAGCCGCCGUAA